rnacentral:rRNA from 1 species
CCUAGGGGUGCUCCAGUGGGGAAUAUUGCACAAUGGAGGAAACUCUGAUGCAGCAACGCCGCGUGGAGGAUGACACUUUUCGGAGCGUAAACUCCUUUUAUAUAGGAAGAAGAUGACGGUACUAUAUGAAUAAGCGCCGGCUAACUCCGUGCCAGCAGCCGCGGUAAUACGGAGGGCGCAAGCGUUACUCGGAAUCACUGGGCGUAAAGAGCGUGUAGGCGGAUUAAAAAGUCAGAAGUGAAAUCCUAUAGCUUAACUAUAGAACUGCUUCUGAAACUCUUAAUCUAGAAUAUGGGAGAGGUAGAUGGAAUUUCUGGUGUAGGGGUAAAAUCCGUAGAGAUCAGAAGGAAUACCGAUUGCGAAGGCGACCUACUAGAACAUUAUUGACGCUGAGACGCGAAAGCGUGGGGAGCAAACAGGAUUAGAUACCCUUGUAGUC